UACGGAGGGUGCAAGCGUUGUUCGGAAUCAUUGGGCGUAAAGCGCGUGUAGGCGGCUUGGCAAGUCGGUUGUGAAAUCCCGGGGCCCAACCCCGUAACUGCAUUCGAAACUGCCGCGCUAGAGUCCCGGAGAGGAGGGCGGAAUUCCCGGUGUAGAGGUGAAAUUCGUAGAUAUCGGGGGGAACACCAGCGGCGAAGGCGGCAUUCUGGACGGUGACUGACGCUGAGACGCGAAAGCGUGGGGAGCAAACAGG
rnacentral:rRNA from 1 species